rnacentral:sRNA from 1 species
AUUGACAAAAAAAAUUGUAACGCUACGAACGUACCUGCCAGCGGUCCCCACAUCCUCUCUCUGCGUCCAGAAGGUUCUAAAGACUUGUUUACACGCCCUACAAAUCCCCACAUGAUAUUUCCUAGUGUUUUGUCCUCACUUACACGAUUCCAACAAUCACUUUCCAUAAGGUCACACAUCCUGAGACUUUUCCACCUCAAUGACGCUUAAUUGUGGAGUUCUCUCAGGACGUUUGACCGAAAAUAUAAGUCUCUUUGGUGAUAUUGAUGGCAAAAUCAAUUCUUUUAAACCUCUCUGCAUGGACACCCUGAUGGAACCAAAAAUGUUUG